rnacentral:piRNA from 1 species
UAUAAGGUCCUGAUUUGAGUGC